UACGGAGGGUGCAAGCGUUAUCCGGAUUCACUGGGUUUAAAGGGUGCGUAGGUGGGUUGAUAAGUCAGUGGUGAAAUCCCCGAGCUUAACUUGGGAACUGCCAUUGAUACUAUUGAUCUUGAAUACCGUGGAGGUCAGCGGAAUAUGUCAUGUAGCGGUGAAAUGCUUAGAUAUGACAUAGAACACCAAUUGCGAAGGCAGCUGGCUACACAAAUAUUGACACUGAGGCACGAAAGCGUGGGGAUCAAACAGG
rnacentral:rRNA from 1 species